AUUGAACGCUGGCGGCAGGCCUUACACAUGCAAGUCGAACGAGUGGCGGACGGGUGAGUAAUGUCUCGGAAACUGCCUGAUGGAGGGGGAUAACUACUCGAAACGGUAGCUAAUACCGCAUACUAUUAGAUCUGCCCAGAUUGGAUUAGCUAGUUGGUGGGGUAACGGCUCACCAAGGCGACGAUCCCUAGCUGGUCUGAGAGGAUGACCAGCCACACUGGAACUGAGACACGGUCCAGACUCCUACGGGAGGCAGCAGUGGGAAAUGUUGCACAAUGGGGGCAAGCCUGAUGCAGCCAUGCCGCGUGUAUGAUGAAGGCCUUCGGGUUGUAAAGGACUUUCAGCGGGGAAGCGUUACCCGCAGAAGAAGCACCGGAUAACUCCGUGCCAGCAGCCGCGGUAAUAC
rnacentral:rRNA from 1 species